rnacentral:rRNA from 1 species
AAACCAGCACCUCAAGUGGUCAGGAUGAUUAUUGGGCCUAAAGCAUCCGUAGCCGGCUCUGUAAGUUUUUGGUUAAAUCUGUACGCUUAACGUACAGGCUGCUGGGAAUACUGCAGAGCUAGGGAGUGGGAGAGGUAGACGGUACUCGGGAGGAAGUGGUAAAAUGCUUUGAUCUCUCGAUGACCACCUGUGGCGAAGGCGGUCUACCAGAACACGUCCGACGGUGAGGGAUGAAAGCUGGGGGAGCAAACCGGAUUAGAAACCCCGGUAGUCC